GCUGUUUUAGUAUAUGGUUUAUUACGGUAGCUUUUCGUGCUACAUAGGGUGGGUUUGUGCACCAGACAGUA
rnacentral:tRNA from 1 species